rnacentral:rRNA from 1 species
GAUAAACGCUGGCGGCGCACAUAAGACAUGCAAGUCGAACGGACUUAAUCGAAAUAUUUAUAUUUUGAAGCGGUUAGUGGCGGACUGGUGAGUAACGCGUAAGGAACCUACCUAUUAGAGGGGAAUAACAGUGAGAAAUCAUUGCUAAUACCGCAUAUGCCAUAGAUAUCACAUGAUAACAGUGGGAAAGGAGCAAUCCGCUAAUAGAUGGCCUUGCGUCUGAUUAGAUAGUUGGUGGGGUAACAGCCCACCAAGGCGACGAUCAGUAGCCGGACUGAGAGGUUGAACGGCCACAUUGGGACUGAGACACGGCCCAG